rnacentral:lncRNA from 1 species
GUUACCGAAGUGAACGUGGCGGGAAGGCCAGCGGUUGGUCACUGCCCUGCUCGCAAGCUGAGUCUCCCCACAGUCCUUACAAACGACUCCAUAUUCCAGAAGACUUGAUGAGCAGAAAAAUCCAACCGUGGUGAUGUUUAUUUUCAUACACAGAAAUGUUUAAAAAACAAACAGAUUUUUUCUUAAGCAAAUGUGUAUACGCCCUUCCUGAGACAGUCUAAACAUUACUGUUGUACCCAGUGACUUCACUUGGGAUCCCUGUCUCCUUAAACCACAUAUAAUUAUUAGUGGCAACACAGUCAGUGAUAAUCUAGGCAGAUUAUAUAUGUAUAUUUAUAAAGGAUUAUUUAAGAUGAUCUAAAGAUAUUUAAUGUCAAAACAUGGCCUAUUGACCCUAAAUUUUCAUAUCAGGUAGUGGCUUUUCUCUGAUCAGCACAAAGUGAAUGCCAUCUAAACUUCCAUCCACAAAUUCAGAAGUCCUAUGAGGACACAGCUGUCCCUCUUGCCUUCGGGUUCCAGAGGUUGGCUUCUCCAACACAGAUAUGGAAAUUCCCUCGGAGGCUGAGUAUACAGCAUCUUUUGAACAUUAUCCAAAGCAGGCCUUUUAAGGGUUAUUUUCGUACUCUUUUUUGCAUCAGUGAUGAGUAUAUUUGCAGAGACACGCUAGCAUGUUUUGAUAAGUAUAUUUUAUUGUUCAAGUGAGAAAGAACAGAUUUUUAAUAUAUCCUGGUUCGUUCGUUACUUCAGAAUGCAACUGUAAACGUGACGCAGUGCCAGGCGGUCAGCUGUAUCCCAGGGUCAGUUCCACACCAGACUCUCUUCGUUGUCACGCCCUGGCUCCCGCUGUCCUGUGCCUUCCUUGGUGUUGAAUGACAGCUGCUGGCAGAUUGUCUGGCUCUCUCUUUCUGAUACACAGGAGGAAAGAAGUCAGUGGCAGAGAUGUUAUUGACAUUUCAUUUAAACCCUAGGACUUCUUCCUCCAGAUGUCUUAUUGGUUAGUACGAAGGACAGGAGCACACCUCACUUCUAAUUACUUGCAAUUUCCCCCUGAGGACGUGAGCUACUUUAACCCCGUGUUCUCUUCUCAUUCUUAGUAAUUUGCUACACAAGUGAAAAUUCGAAGCAGUGUCUGCCACUUUAUCUCAGACAUGGUUUGGUUUCUGUCUAGAGACAUGGAGGUUUCUCCAUUGGAAAAAGACAUAGAGAGGUUCUAAUGCCACCGUCGGUAAAACGUGUUGAUUUUCUCUUGUAUCUCUCAAAGUAUUCGAUGGUUUCUCUGUUCAGUCAACCCUGAGUUCCUAAGUCUUACCACCCUACUAAGAGCUAUGUGAUACAAACAAAAUUACUUCCUCACAAAAGUCAUUUGCCUGUUCUUCUAAAGCUAUGGAUGAGUCUAAUGACCAGUUAGGAACACAUCACUUUGCUGCUGCACACCAUGGUCUAAACAUCUAAUUAGGUACAUGCCCAGGUGAGUGAUGGCUAGUGAUAGAUGAAGCAUCUCUGCCAAUUUCAAAACGUUUAUUCUUGCUGCUUCUUUCUUACUGUAACUAUCAAGCAGAAACUGAAGUAAAGGAAGUUAUCCCCUAGUCACCAGAGGUACUUACACAGUCACUUUCCUGCCCUACCAAUCUUGCAGCCAAAAGAAGAGGGUCUUGAUUGAUUAUUUAAUGUUAUUUUUAGAAACCAACUAAUAUAAUAUUUUUGGAAAAGUUUUCCUCAAAUUAGGUGCUUUGAAAUUUAUUUAUAGAGGAUAUUAGUACUGUUUUUUUCUCUAGAGCAGAAGAUAUUAUUUAACAGGAUGUAUUAUUGGAUAUUUCUGACCUCUGAAGAUAUUUCUUAACUCAAUAGCAUUUUACAAGAUCAAAUGUGGUACAGUUAGCAUAUUAUGGGAAGGAAAAAAAUGAGUAAAGUACUCCUUUUAAAAUAGAGUUUUCUGAGUUGCCCAACCCGCUGCCUCAGUUCUUCCCUUUGAGGUCCACAUAGCCUUAAGCACACAGGUAUCUCAACAGAGCUGGCACAGGGUACCUUUUUUUAAAGGGGCAGCUAGAAUCCUUAGUCCUGAAAGCUAGGUGUGACCUGUUCUCGCUGACAUAAAAACAAGUACAUUCUCAGCUUUAUGUCCCUAAAUUAACAUAAUAUUGGGAAAUCAUCCCCAUCCUUCCUGCCCUGUUCCCUUCAUCAUUUCUAAAAAUUAUUUAUUAUCUAUAUAGUAACGGUAACUCAUACCUCUAACAUACAAGACAGAGAGGCACAUAUGAGACUUAUUCAUAUCUUGUAAAAAAGCAACUCAAUACUUGAAAAGGAACCUUCUAUAAUCCAGAUAUGACUUUUAGAUUUGCUGAACAUUUAUAAUACAUUAAAUUUUCAGAUUUUUAUUCUAUCAAACACCUCUUCUAUUAAACCAUCAAAUGUAUAUUUUGUGGGACAAUUUCUAUAUGAUAUGACUUGACCUGAUGUGUUAAAAUAGACAUAUUAAAUAAGUGUACUUGCCACUGCAGUAAUAGGCUUCUUUCGAAACGUGUCCCAAAUCCAAUCCAGGUGUCUUUCCUUUGGGAACAUUGGGUGAAGAAGAUCCUGAACAGGCCUGCAGUCUGGCAGGGUGGCUAAUGUGCAGGAGAAUGAAGAAUGCAUAAUUUUGUAUGCAUGUAAGCACAUACGGCUGGAAAUGAUGUCAAAAAGACUUGAUGUUGUGAUCUUGGGAGACAGUUCAGUGUUACAGCGCUGGCCUGUAAAGAUUGGGCCUUAAUAUUUUUCUUCCAUAUAGACAUCUGUAAUAAUUUUGCUGGCUACACCUAUAUUGGUCAGCAUCCAAAACAUGGCUUUGAAUAUACCUGGAGAAGAUCUAAAUAAAUAGUAAUUACAGGAGUAAAACCACCAGAAUCUUUUCAACAGUUUUAUCAAUGAAACACACUUUAGGUCCAGUCUUAACAACUGCCACUCACUCUAAUGUGGGAGACCAGUGAAAGCACAGAAUUUAUGGAUCUUUGCUGUAACUCCAGUGUCCACUAAACAGAGAGAAAGACUGGGGAGGAACUGACACCUGACCCAUUUAGUUUUUAAGAGCAAAGUAAAACUGUAAUGCAUUGUUAAUAAUCAUACCUCUCGGGGCAUGGGUGAGGUGGUGUUUUAGACAGCGCGACCCAUGUCUUCUGUAAUAACCGUGUGUGAAAAUGUUUCAAUUAUCAAGUUUGGACCAUUUCCCUAACUAGAAACAAAAGGAUUAGAAGGUAAAAACCAGGCCAAGGGUAGAGAGUUCCUGGCAGCUGCUCUCUAGCAAACAGUUCUACAUUCUACCUUAAACUGCAAAGUUAGAGAUGAAAUUCACAGGUCAAAAGUAGCGACUGCCUAUAAAAGGACUCAGAAUUAUUCUCUGGGUUAAUUUUUAACAUCCUUCAGCCUAGAAAUCUCUACCAAUCCUGGCCUCGUGCACAGCCAGGGUCAUUCAGUUCUCCAAGUAGUGCUGCCUCCUUGGGAAACCACAACCAGCUGCAAAUGCCAACAGCUAGCUACCUGCUCAACUCUUCCUUGUAUGCAGUUUAGAGAAGACAGUGCGUAUGUGCCAAUCAUCUUCAGAGAGUUGCUUUAUGGAUACUCAUGUUCGGAUGUACCAGGAAGUAUUUUAUCAUUAUCCUAAUGGGCUUGUGUGUUCAGAACAGUAUACUUCUCUAAAUCUUCAUAUGUGUACAGUACAAUCUAGAACACUUUAGUAACCUGGUCAACGGCCUUCAUUGACAUGGUUUACAGGUAAUAUUCGCAUUUUAGACCAAUUAAGCUCAUAGGAUUGAUUUUUUUUUUGUCGUGUCCAUAUAAAUAAGAAAUGGACUGCGCAGAUAAUAAGUACUCAAACUUAUGAAUCAGUCCUUUAGAAAGUUCUAAGAUUUUGCUAAAUUCAACCUCCCAUAUCACUUAAAGUUUAGACAAGAUGAUCUUAACUCUAGCCAAAGUAGAAAUCUAAGACCUAUAUACAUAUCCAGAUUCUCGGGUGGCUCCCUGUGCUGUGUCUCCCUUGAUGUUACAGUACUGUUUGUGACAAAUGUUCUAAUUUCUAUCUAGAAACUCUAAGCAUACAUCUCUAUCCAGUCAGGAGUCUCUUGCUGUCAGAGGUGUAUGUAUUUUGAACUGUAUUUCAUUUUCUAGUGCAUGUUAUCUGCGGUUUAAUACUUGACAAACCUUGGCAAGUUUAGUCUUUCCAUUCCCACCUGUGAAGACGGACUAUCUCUCGGAAACUGCCACUGUCCCAUUCUAUCAAAUCAUGCUAGCCUCUGCUGUAUCUAAAGUAUGGUCUAUUUUCUGGAGAUUUAGUGAUAUACAUGUAAAUGUUUUUUAAGUUAUUUUAUUGAACCUCAAUAUUUACAUGGAGUUAUAAUCUUUUUUUAAAGAAAGUGCCAGUGCCAGAACUGUAUAAGAAAACAGUCAAAUAAAAGCAAAG